CAGUGACACUGGCAGCAGGCAGGUGAAAGCUUGAAGGUUUCAUUUAAAACACUUUUAAGCAAAGGCUUUUGUUUCCAGACAUCUUGUGCGGACGCGCAGUGAAGGGUCAAGUUCUCGCUGCUUUUAUGUCAGUACCGCGUCUCCCGACCUGUGUUUGCUAGGAAACAGCUUCCUGUCGCCUCUAGAGUUGCCUUAUUUAGCACUGUGCAAGAUGUAAACAGGAAUUUACCCUUGCUUUGUUUAAUUAGUCUUUUCCCCAGCACAAAGGCCUGCAGGAGGGAUUGAUUCACCAUCUUUUUUCUUCUCCUUUCUAGAGGGCACACUGUCAGUUCCACUGACACAGAUGGCCUUAAGUACCAGGGAAACCGAGAUGUCUUCUCAAAGCUCCAUUUAUUCCUUUUGUUCUCUCACCUUAAGAACUGGACAGCUAAACUUGAUCAUGUUUGCUGACGCUCUUUUGGACAGAAGAAAGGUUGUGGAUGUUACAGAAGUGACAUCCAUUCCUGCUAGCUAAAAAUCACCUGCCACCUCAACUGGAUAUAUCUGUCUGUUUCCUGCCCUCGCUCCAGAUCCUUGCUACUGGGGCCUUGCUUUUCUUCCCCAGAAGGAGAUGGGAGAUUUGCCACAACUGCAGUGACAGCAGUAGGAGAGCAGACACAGAUUAGGCAAGGUGUUGGAGGAUUUUCUGCAUGCUCUGAAGCAUGUCAUAAAUUGCAAUAAAUUCAUCUGUUUAUGGAUUCUGAACUUGACCCACUUCCAUGAGUACAAGGUAAACUGAAACAAAUGUUCCACUAUGUGGCUCAAUACAGCAGUCAGAGGAGGAAGAACAUCCAUACUCCACCUCUGGGAUGGCAAGAUACACUUCAGAAUGUGGAAGGAAAAAAAACAGAGAGACUGGAGCUCUAAGCCUCAUACUGUGAACAUCACCCAGAUGAUGCUGUGGCAAGGAAUCAAUUUGAAGUCAGCUCCAUUAACAGUAAUCGUUGUUCAGACUGCAGCAGAUCCACACCUUGUACUUCAGGGCCUAAAACUACUUUUAUAAAAAAAAAAAAAUAAAUAAAAAAAUUGGUUGGCAUGCCAGUUCAUCUCCCUCACGGGGAUGCUGUGUUUAAGGGGGCUCAGAUACAUCUGAUAUAUCACAGCCCAGCUACAGGACUGCUGGCCUGUGUCAGGAAUAUCCCAAGGAAUAGUUGUGCUUAUUUAUGGGAAUUUAAGAGCGCUUGUCAUCAAAAUAAACUUCAGGAAAUUGUUGGCUGUUAUCACUGGCAUUGCAGACAGGAACCGUGCCUAGAAAUAGAGACUGGCAUAGCAACAUUGCUGACUGUUUUGUAGAGAAGGCGGCUUAUUUUUCCAGGCCACAACAUUUAAUAAACAUUUUCUGUUUAUUGAAA